rnacentral:rRNA from 1 species
CGGCAGGCUACACAUGCAGUCGAGCGGUAGCACAGAGAGCUUGCUCUCGGGUGACGAGCGGCGGACGGGUGAGUAAUGUCUGGGAAACUGCCUGAUGGAGGGGGAUAACUACUGGAAACGGUAGCUAAUACCGCAUAACGUCGCAAGACCAAAGUGGGGGACCUUCGGGCCUCAUGCCAUCAGAUGUGCCCAGAUGGGAUUAGCUAGUAGGUGGGGUAACGGCUCACCUAGGCGACGAUCCCUAGCUGGUCUGAGAGGAUGACCAGCCACACUGGAACUGAGACACGGUCCAGACUCCUACGGGAGGCAGCAGUGGGGAAUAUUGCACAAUGGGCGCAAGCCUGAUGCAGCCAUGCCGCGUGUGUGAAGAAGGCCUUCGGGUUGUAAAGCACUUUCAGCGGGGAGGAAGGCGAUAAGGUUAAUAACCUUGGCGAUUGACGUUACCCGCAGAAGAAGCACCGGCUAACUCCGUGCCAGCAGCCGCGGUAAUACGGAGGGUGCAAGCGUUAAUCGGAAUUACUGGGCGUAAAGCGCACGCAGGCGGUCUGUCAAGUCGGAUGUGAAAUCCCCGGGCUCAACCUGGGAACUGCAUUCGAAACUGGCAGGCUAGAGUCUUGUAGAGGGGGGUAGAAUUCCAGGUGUAGCGGUGAAAUGCGUAGAGAUCUGGAGGAAUACCGGUGGCGAAGGCGGCCCCCUGGACAAAGACUGACGCUCAGGUGCGAAAGCGUGGGGAGCAAACAGGAUUAGAUACCCUGGUAGUCCACGCCGUAAACGAUGUCGAUUUGGAGGUUGUGCCCUUGAGGCGUGGCUUCCGGAGCUAACGCGUUAAAUCGACCGCCUGGGGAGUACGGCCGCAAGGUUAAAACUCAAAUGAAUUGACGGGGGCCCGCACAAGCGGUGGAGCAUGUGGUUUAAUUCGAUGCAACGCGAAGAACCUUACCUGGUCUUGACAUCCACAGAACUUACCAGAGAUGGAUUGGUGCCUUCGGGAACUGUGAGACAGGUGCUGCAUGGCUGUCGUCAGCUCGUGUUGUGAAAUGUUGGGUUAAGUCCCGCAACGAGCGCAACCCUUAUCCUUUGUUGCCAGCGGUUAGGCCGGGAACUCAAAGGAGACUGCCAGUGAUAAACUGGAGGAAGGUGGGGAUGACGUCAAGUCAUCAUGGCCCUUACGACCAGGGCUACACACGUGCUACAAUGGCAUAUACAAAGAGAAGCGACCUCGCGAGAGCAAGCGGACCUCAUAAAGUAUGUCGUAGUCCGGAUUGGAGUCUGCAACUCGACUCCAUGAAGUCGGAAUCGCUAGUAAUCGUAGAUCAGAAUGCUACGGUGAAUACGUUCCCGGGCCUUGUACACACCGCCCGUCACACCAUGGGAGUGGGUUGCAAAAGAAGUAGGUAGCUUAACCUCGGAGACGCUACCAC